GACGAACCGAGCGAACGUUGUUCGGAAUCACUGGGCUUAAAGGGCGCGUAGGCGGGUGCUCAAGUCCGGGGUGAAAUCCCACAGCUCAACUGUGGAACUGCCUCGGAUACUGGGUGUCUCGAGGGUGGCAGGGGUAUGUGGAACUAUCGGUGGAGCGGUGAAAUGCGUUGAUAUCGAUAGGAACUCCGGUGGCGAAGGCGGCAUACUGGUCCACUUCUGACGCUGAGGCGCGAAAGCCAGGGGAGCAAACGGG
rnacentral:rRNA from 1 species